AUAGAGUCAAGUGAAUAAGUGCAUCAGGCGGAUGCCUUGGCGAUGAUAGGCGACGAAGGACGUGUAAGCCUGCGAAAAGCGCGGGGGAGCCGGCAAUAAAGCAAUGAUUCCGCGAUGUCCGAAUGGGGAAACCCACUGCAUUCUGUGCAGUAUCCUAAGUUGAAUACAUAGACUUAGAGAAGCGAACCCGGAGAACUGAACCAUCUAAGUACCCGGAGGAAAAGAAAUCAACCGAGAUUCCGCAAGUAGUGGCGAGCGAACGCGGAGGAGCCUGUACGUAAUAACUGUCGAGAUAGAAGAACAAGCUGGAAGCUGACCAUAGUGGGUGACAGUCCCGUAUUCGAAAUCUCAACAGCGGUACUAAGCGUACGAAAAGUAGGCGGGACACGUGAAAUCCUGUCUGAAUAUGGGGGACCAUCCUCCAAGGCUAAAUACUCAUCAUCGACCGAUAGUGAACCAGUACCGUGAGGGAAAGGCGAAAAGAACCCGGAGGGGAGUGAACAGAACCUGAAACCUGAUGCAUACAAACAGUGGGAGCGCCCUAGAGGUGUGACUGCGUACCUUUUGUAUAAUGGGUCAACGACUUACAUUCAGUAGCGAGCUUAACCGAAUAGGGGAGGCGUAGGGAAACCGAGUCUUAAUAGGGCGAUGAGUUGCUGGGUGUAGACCCGAAACCGAGUGAUCUAUCCAUGGCCAGGUUGAAGGUGCCGUAACAGGUACUGGAGGACCGAACCCACGCAUGUGCAAAAUGGGGAUGAGCUGUGGAUAGGGGUGAAAGGCUAAACAAACUCGGAGAUAGCUGGUUCUCCCCGAAAACUAUUUAGGUAGUGCCUCGAGCAAGAACUGAUGGGGUAAAGCACUGUUAUGGCUAGGGGGUUAUUGCAACUUACCAACCCAUGGCAAACUCAGAAUACCAUCAAGUGGUUCCUCGGAGACAGACAGCGGGUGCUAACGUCCGUUGUCAAGAGGGAAACAACCCAGACCGCCAGCUAAGGUCCCCAAUGAUAGAUUAAGUGGUAAACGAAGUGGGAAGGCCCAGACAGCCAGGAUGUUGGCUUAGAAGCAGCCAUCAUUUAAAGAAAGCGUAAUAGCUCACUGGUCGAGUCGUCCUGCGCGGAAGAUGUAACGGGGCUCAAAUCUAUAACCGAAGCUGCGGAUGCCGGUUUAUCGGCAUGGUAGGGAGCGUUCUGUAGGCCGAUGAAGGUGCAUUGUAAAGUGUGCUGGAGGUAUCAGAAGUGCGAAUGUUGACAUGAGUAGCGAUAAAGCGGGUGAAAAGCCCGCUCGCCGAAAGCCCAAGGUUUCCUGCGCAACGUUCAUCGGCGUAGGUGAGUCGGCCCCUAAGGCGAGGCAGAAAUGCGUAGUCGAUGGGAAACAGGUUAAUAUUCCUGUACUUGAUUCAAAUGCGAUGUGGGGACGGAGAAGGUUAGGUUGGCAAGCUGUUGGAAUAGCUUGUUUAAGCCGGUAGGUGGAAGACUUAGGCAAAUCCGGGUCUUCUUAACACCGAGAAGUGACGACGAGUGUCUACGGACACGAAGCAACCGAUACCACGCUUCCAGGAAAAGCCACUAAGCUUCAGUUUGAAUCGAACCGUACCGCAAACCGACACAGGUGGGCAGGAUGAGAAUUCUAAGGCGCUUGAGAGAACUCAGGAGAAGGAACUCGGCAAAUUGAUACCGUAACUCGGGAGAAGGUAUGCCCUCUAAGGUUAAGGACUUGCUCCGUAAGCCCCGGAGGGUCGCAGAGAAUAGGUGG
rnacentral:rRNA from 1 species